CAGCAAUGGAACACCUGUGUCAUUAGUUUGUGUAGUGAUCGUUAAUUGUACGUGACAGUAGUGCAGCCAAGGAAGGUUUAGACUCUCUAGCUUCCAUGGUGCAGACUUUGCCGGGAGAAGCCAGCGGGCGUGGGUACUGAGCGCCGACAGUGGGGAGUGUGGUGCUGCAGGUCUGAUGUUCCUUGCCUGAUUUCCUCCGUGGCGGCGCCGGACAGCAGUAGGAGCGAGGUGAUGAAGGACACGUGGACCUGUGGAUUGUGUUUAUGUCAGUGUUGGGUCGCCCUCAAUGGGUCUCAAGUGAGGAGGAGGAUCUGUGCAGCCUCUCAGGACUCCUGCUGGGGGAAAUUGCUCUGCUCGAGGGAUCACGGUAAUGUCACAGAGAGCAAGUAGAAGAAAACCUGGGAGACUUGCUUAACUCAGGAACAAGAGCUGCACCUCACCGGAGCUCUGCAAUGUGUGGCAGCGAUUGCACGAAUCAACACUCGGGUUUGUCAGCACACAGUCAUAGCGACUUUGUUCAUCAGACUGUUGGUGAAAGAUUCCACAGACCGACUGGGAGACACACAAUGUCAGUGCCACCGCACAGGGAGUGAGGCCCAAGAGGAGGAAGAGGAGCAUCCAAGAGACAUCAGCUGGCCAGCAGUCCAUUCAGGUGUGCCUUUCAUUACAUCAUUAUUUGUCCAUAGUUUCCCUUCUGGGGUUGGACAGACCAUGAGUAUCUCCCACUUGCAGCUGUAGACAAUUUCUUCGUUAUUGUUAAGUGUUAUCAUGCCUUCCUCCACACACCAUCUCAAGGUCUUCCCAGUGGUUUCCUUCCAAGUACUCUGAUGCUCUCUUCAGUUAGUGGCCCUGAUUUGUAAGUGCCAGGAAGACUGUAUGGAUAAGGCAGACCACAAACCUUCUGCUAGAUGUGGAGUGGUGAAUGGCAGCAAAAAUACUGGCAGCAUCUGAUUCUUUGCACCAAAAUAGUGUUCUUGUUAACAGAUUUAUUCACUGCUCACUCAUUCACUCAUCUCUGAAGGAGUGAACAGUGUGCACUGAAGUAAGCAUUGCAACUGGUGUGUGUGUGUGUGUGUGUGUGUGUGUGUUUCUGGUGAUGGAGUUUAAUAACAGGGUUUUGUCAUCUUGAAAGAUUUCAUAAAAGUACUGAAUCUGAUUUGGAAUUCAUGUUGCAAUAAAAACUCUCCCUCCUUUGCAACAAUUUCACAAGUGUAUACAGGAAGCGAAGGAUGAAGCA